rnacentral:rRNA from 1 species
GAUGAACGCUGGCGGCGUGCCUAAUACAUGCAAGUCGAGCGAACGGACGAGAAGCUUGCUUCUCUGAUGUUAGCGGCGGACGGGUGAGUAACACGUGGAUAACCUACCUAUAAGACUGGGAUAACUUCGGGAAACCGGAGCUACUACCGGAUGAUAUUUUGAACCGCAUGGUUCAAAAGUGAAAGACGGUCUUGCUGUCACUUAUAGAUGGAUCCGCGCUGCAUUAGCUAGUUGGUAAGGUAACGGCUUACCAAGGCAACGAUGCAUAGCCGACCUGAGAGGGUGAUCGGCCACACUGGAACUGAGACACGGUCCAGACUCCUACGGGAGGCAGCAGUAGGGAAUCUUCCGCAAUGGGCGAAAGCCUGACGGAGCAACGCCGCGUGAGUGAUGAAGGUCUUCGGACCGUAAAACUCUGUUAUUAGGGAAGAACAUAUGUGUAAGUAACUGUGCACAUCUUGACGGUACCUAAUCAGAAAGCCACGGCUAACUACGUG